AGUUCUCCAGGCGCAGUGCGCGCAGGCGUGGGCAGCAGCGCAGCAGGCGCGCCAGGCAGUCGUCGGUAACGUGGCCGCAGCCCGAGAGCGUGACGGACGCCAGGUUGGGGCACCUGUGAGGAGAGUGCGGUGACCCGGGGCUCACUGGCUUGUUAAAGCUACCCAACCGCCCCAUGGGACCGAGUGGACUCAUUUACCGAGGAGGACUCGGGCCCUGCGAGGUGAAGACACUUGGCUGCGAUGACACUGCAGGGUUCCAAGUCGGCUUUCUGGCCGGCCCAUUUUCCCUCCUCUUUCUGCCCCUGCACCCCACCGUACCUUCAUCUGCGUGGGUUCUUGGCUCGUAGCCUUGGGAGCCCCUAGUGGGAAGCCCCGACCCCGGCCCAGCAGAGUCCUGGGGCGGCUGUGGACAGAGGGAAUGCCGGUUCCAGGAGCCACAACCCUUGACUCUUUGUUUCGCUCUGGAUGUGCUGCCUUGCAGGGGAGCGGUGCUUGGCGAUUGCUCCAGUCUAGCUUCAAGCUGAGGCCCCUGAAUGUCCCGGCGGGACGUCACUUCAUCCUGGCCCAGGUACUGCAGCUCCAAAUCGUGGGGAUUCUGUAAGAGCUUGCUACCUGUUGACUGAGGAGGCCCACGAGUUGAGAAGAACUAGCAAGAGUGGUACAAAACUGCAGGUCAUUGGGCUGGCCACCAGGUAUUCCCACCCACCAGAAGCUGGCUGUUGUACUCACCCGGAACCAUGGUGCACCACCACAGCGGCGAGGUCAUACAGGCAGCUCUCCGGGCCACUGUUCUCAGGCUACAGAACAAGGAAGAAGGAGCAGUGGUCAAUGACAUCAGUAUCUCGAUGACCUCUACCCUCUCCAUGUGAUGACAAUCUUACUGAAGAGCCAUUUUUUCACCAUGCUAAAAAGGUAACCACCUUACCUCUAGUAAGUAGCAUUUCAUGUCUAGGCCUCUCAGUGGAAAUUCUACGUAUGUAUCAACUUUAUUUCUUAAAUAUGCUGUCCAAUGAAAUCUUUUCAAAUGUAAGCAUAGCACCUGGAGGACAGAGAUGCGGUCAAAGAUUGUGAACACCUAAUUUACCUUUCAGUCAAAGUUUGAUACUACUAUCAGUUCAGUAAAUAACAUUUUAGCUGCCCUAUCAAUCAUUCUUCCAUGCAUACCUUAUGCAUUCAUUCUGUAAGGGGUUUAGCUUUUACUGAAAAUCCUAGAGAAAAAUACAGAACAGUUCACAUAGUGUAAAGUUAUAGACAUGGUCUUAGCAGUCAAGCACUUUCCCAUUGAAAUUGCUUCAUAACUCAAAAUUCAACACUCACCUUGGGUAGUUUUUGAAUCCAAAACUUUUUUGUGGACUUUUGUUUCUUUUUGCAUUUAUGGCACAUAUAUAACUCUGUCUCAUCAAGUUCUUCUAAGUCGGUAAAACUGCGAAGACAAUCUAAACAAAUUGAUUUUGGCAGCAUUAAAACAAGAUGCCUUUUGUAGAGGCAAUGUACUGUAGAAAAAAGACCCAGGUUUAAAAUCUCAGCUUUAUUAGCUAUACGACCUUAGAAAAGUUAACCUUUCUCAAUUGCAAACUGGAGACAAAAAAUAAUACCUACUUUGAAGAACUAUUAUAAGGAAGAGAAAUAAUGUGUAGAGCACCUGGCAUCAUGCCUGACAUCUGGUGAUGAUCAAUUGUGUUGGUUUUACUAUUAAUGAUAAUUCAUCUGGAUAAUUCUGAUAAAAUGGUUUCCUGAUGAAUUUAAAGUUUCAAUUGUAGUUUUCUGUCAAUAUGUUACAUUAUACAGGACAAAGCUCCAAACUCAU
rnacentral:lncRNA from 10 species